UCUCAUAAAUCCUACUUGCCUAUUAAGAUUCAGCUCAAGUGCUACCUUCUCCAGGAAGCCUGUCCAGUUUGGUAUGCUUUUCCUUCUUAAUCUGCCCCCUCUCUAGAAUUCCUACUGCCUUUUAAGACUCAGCUAAGGUACCACCUCUCCAAGAAACAUUUCCAAUUUGGCCAUAACACUGUUCACUUACCUCUACCACACAUUUAAUAUACAGGUUUAAAAUCAUUUAUUUAAUAUGGGGCGCCUGGGUGGCUCAUUCGGUUAAGCAUCCAACUUC